UCUGGGCCCGUGUGUCUGUGCGUGUUACAUUAAUGCGCACGCACGGGCUCUACGUUCCCACUCGAGUCGCUUUAUGAGCUGCGGGACGCGACCGAGACAACAAAAGAGGAUUUACACCAAAAAAAAACACUCGCGCGCGCGAGCGCACACAUGAGCGAGCGAGCGAACGAGCGAGUUAGCGAGCGCGCACUACACCAUGGGGGAAAGUUUCCUGGGUGUAAGUUUUUUUUACGUCACCCGCCCUCCCCGCAGUCAUGCCCCAACCACCACGGUGGUGACGAACAUGCGAAAUCAACAUCAUCAGUUGGAGCUGCAGGCACAGAGAGAGCGAGACGCGAUAACUUUCGGCUCGACGGCAAUGGGAAGAUGCCACGCGCUCAUAAACGCGACAAGCUCACGCGACAGCUGAUUCGACGGCGCGACGUCCAAUGGCGAGAGAGUGUGGGCGGGCCCAUGCGAACGAACCAAUAAGAAGCGGGAUUCAACAGAUAAGCGGCUCACGAUUUUCGAGCGGGACAGUUUUUUUUUUGCGAUGGUUGUCUUUUAAUUUCACGACAGUUUGGAAGAAGAUCGUACGCGUACAUUUGACAGAGAGGAUGAACGAAAACAACUCGGCAACGGAGCCUUCGGAAGGACAACAGCACGCGGAUCGUCGGCGACGUUUCGGGCAACGGCCCUUUCUUCGUGGCACACACGAGGCCAGAGAAAGUUGGGAGUACCGCACUCGACGAUCAUGAGCCGCGAUGAGCUACGUUUCGAAAAACAUACGACCGGGAUUUUUGUUGUUGUUGUUGUUGUUGUUUAAAUGAGCAUGUUACUCGUCACACUAACAGCAGAGGUUUUUUUUUCGGUAACUAACCCUUU